rnacentral:lncRNA from 1 species
CAAAACAAAGAUAAAAUAUGACCUAGAGACCCAAAACUAGACAAAGAAUUUUACUCAUCUCCCUUAUCAAAACUACACAUUCCAAAUUCCCACGAGUCAAACAGCUGGAGGACAGGCUGAUUAGAAUAUUUGUUCAGUGGGGAUCUUGCUGUUUUGAUAACAAAACCACAGAAUUCUCCCUUAACAUCAGUUACCAAUCUUAAAAAAAAAAAAAAAAAAAAAAAAUGCCACAAAAACAAUUUCAUUUCCAGGUCCGACUCAUCCUUUUUCAUUUUCUAAAAUAAUCCUAAACCUAUCAAUAAUGUUGUGUGUAAACCUCGAUUCUUAUAUAAACAAGGGAAAUUUUACAGGCCAAAGAGAGGUGGUGGUCUCUUAUUAACCAAUGUGUUCUCCCUGUCUUAAAUUUGAUGCUCAGGACAGAAUCAAAAGUUUGAAAUUACCCAUUUAUGAAGCCAUAUGAUCACAGGCUCUAAGAUUUUCAUGACAUCAGCCACUGGCCAUGAGGGAAUGCAGCAAUCACAAGAAUCCAGGGAAAUCUGAGAUGUGAAAGUUGGGGGAACUUUACAGCAAGGUGGUGGUGAUGACUAUCCAAUUUCGGAAAAGUCAACUUACAGGGAUUGACUUUGCCAACUCCAAGAUGCUGGCUACACCCAGCCCCCUGUUCAGUACACUUCAUGCCUAAGCUCGUGUCAUCCUCACAGCCACCCUAAAAGGCACGUAUUAUCUUCACUCUACAGUUAGAAGAUUGAGAACUGAAAAACUUAAGGUCAAGGCUGGCCAAAGUCAUCUG